UGUGUGUGUGUGUGUGUGUGUGUGUGUGACCUUAGAUACACAGAUCACACACACACACACACACACACAUACU
rnacentral:miRNA from 1 species